GGGUGGUGCUGUUGGAAAGGACUUGCUUGCUCUCCUCCAGCUCUAGCAGGCAGAGAGUUGCAAUGGUCCAGAUCGCUUGGGCAUCACUGACCUCUCCGGACCACUGCCCUAGUGGGCGUCCUGUGUCCGACUGCUGGGCUGGCAUUUACAGAGUACAGGUCUAGGCUGGCUGGAAUGUACUACACACGGAGAUCCUACUGUUUGCAAAGUUGACUUUUCCUUCUCGCGGCCACGCUGCAAAGGAUGGAGCUACCGUAGAGAAGCAGCAGUUACAGGUCUAUCAGAGGAGGAAGGAGCCAGGCUCCUGCUUCAUAACCGAGGCAUCUAGCAUCCACCCAAAGAACUUUUUUGCCUCUGACUAUGGAGCCACUGGUUAUUGGACGCGGCCCAACUGAAUACCCAGCUGAAUGAAAGAGUGAAGCAUGAAAUAACAAAGGUAGCACAAAAGGAUGGGAAGAGGAAUUCGAUGAGAUCGUGUAGACGCCCCCGGGGAUCAAUUCCUAAAUGCUGGUGUGAGAUCAUCACAGCAGGUGAUUAUGAUUUGCCUCGUGCACCAGCAGGGGCGAGAUCCUUGCCAGCUACAGACAGCUGAAUUCUGGGGAUCCUGGGGAGACGAGGUAAAUGGAAGAGCCCCAAGAGGGCCUAGGAGGCUGCCACUCCCCUUGCCAGUCCGGCUUGCUGCUGUUGUGGUCGGUCAAGUGUUUGUGAGCAAAGAGACAAGAAGUUAGAGAUAUCCUGACAGCAAAGACUGGACAGUCCCAAGGAACCCAAGGCCCCUAGUCAUCAGGAAAUAGUCUAUUUUGCUGAGUGAAAGAAGUCAGGCCCCCUUCCCCUCUAACCUUUCUCUCCUACCUAGUGUUGUGGGGUCGGAAGGGUGAUGGGUAUAGGAACCCAAUAAAAGAGCCACCAAAGAAAAUC